ACACCCUCAACCUUCUUGGUUUCUUGACCAGGAAAGGCUUGGACUCUGGAGGUUGUCCUUGCUGGCUUGCCAGCUCCUCCUAAACGAAUUAGUGGGGUCUGCUUUGCUGAUCCUUGACGUGAUAAGUAUGCUUCUACGUCUUGGGUUUUGCACUGUUGCCCUGGAACCUGCUUCCAAUGGCCUUCAUUUCAAAGAUGACGUUCGAGUUGCUUUUGUGACUUGACCUCAGUGA
rnacentral:misc_RNA from 1 species